GCACUCCACUCGGCAGCACACAUACUAAGACUGCAAGGAUACAGAGAUUAGCAUGGCCCCUGAACAAAAAUGACAAGAAGUGUCCCUCAUUAAAAAAAAAGUGUU
rnacentral:snRNA from 1 species